CUGAGAACCUCUUCAUACCCAACCUGUGAGAGGUACACUGUUUUACCCCUCCUACCUGAGAACCUCUUCAUAACUUACCUGUGAGGGGCACACUGUUUUACCCCUCCUACCUGAGAACUUCUCCAUACCUAACCUGUGAGGUGUACACGGUUAUACCUCUCCUAUCUGAGAACCUCUCCAUACCUAACCUGUGAGGGGAACACGGUUAUACCCCUCCUAUCUGAGAACCUCUCCAUACCUAACCUGAGGGGUACACGGUUAUACCCCUCCUAUCUGAGAACCUCUCCAUACCUAACCUGUGAGGGGGUACACGGUUAUACCCCUCCUAUCUGAGAACCUCUCCAUACCUAACCUGUGAGGGGUACACAGUUAUACCCCUCCUACCUGAGAACCUCUCCAUACCUAACCUGUGAGGGGUACACGGUUAUACCCCUCCUACCUGAGAACCUCUCCAUACCUAACCUGUGAGGGGUACACUGUUAUACCCCUCCUACCUGAGAACCUCUCCAUACCUAACCUGUGAGGGGUACACGGUUAUACCCCUCCUAUCUGAGAACCUCUCCAUACCUAACCUGUGAGGGGGUACACGGUUAUACCCCUCCUAUCUGAGAACCUC